AAACCCUGACUUUAGAGGGUUUUAUCUGCACACUUCUCGGCUCUCAUCGGAAGUGUCCGCCGGUCGCCCGUCGGAGUUUUUACGGCGGCGACUCAUGCAGUGCUUUCUAAACUAUUCUUCACAUCUCGAUUAUGUUGGUGAUCGGCGUUCUCAGAGUAUGAUGAAUUCUCAAGUCACACUGUAAGUUUAUGUCCAAGCAUGAUAUUUCGAUUGCAACAGCUUUUGGCUCGAUGAAAAUGGUGUUUGUAUCUGGUUGGCUACCUCAACGAGGAAUUUCAGCAAACUCUGCAGUCUUCCACCUCUGUUCAUUAGUAUCCUCUAACUAAACUUGAAAUCUUUCCGUAUCAUUUGCUUCAGAUUUUUAUAAUUGUCCAAACUGGGGAUAGUAUACUUUUUAAAAUAUUGAUGAAAUUUCGUGUCUGCUAUUUGCCCAAGCUCUCCAAGACCAAAUACCAUUUCUUUCGCCAUUUCUAUCACAAUGUUUCCAGGUCGUCCUUUGGUGGCGCACAUGAAACUUCCGGCUCAGCUCUAACCUUUCCAUCUCACCAAUCAAUCUGGAAAGAUGCCAAAGCAGUGGCACUUCAAGUAUCAAACUGUACCGAUUUAAAGCACCUGCGCCAAGUAUUUUCCCUUUUAAUUCGAACCUGUUUUCUACAAUCAUAUCCUUAUUCUUUUCAUUAUAAUAACAUCAGUAGAGUGUACAGCCGACUAGAGUCACCCAAAGAUGCAUUGAAUGUCUACAUCACCAUGUGUCGUGCUGGCAUCCCGCCAGAUAAUUUUACUCUUCCGAUAGUUGUUAAAGCGGCAACUCAAAUUUCAGACAAUGUAUUUGUGGAACAAGUACAUGGUAUAUCAAUUAAGCAUGGGUUCGACCAUGAUAUGUAUUGUCAAAGUGGUUUGAUUAGCUUCUAUUGUAAAGCCGGUCAAUUGCAGAAAGCGCAUAGAAUCUUUAUGAACUGUACUGAGAAACCGUUGGGGUCUUGGAAUGCUAUCAUCGGAGGACUGUCGCAAGGAGGAUGCAGUAAUGAAGCCGUACAGAUGUUUAUAUCAAUGAUGAGGGACGGGUUAUCCCCUGAUAAUGUGACGUUGGCAAGCGUUACAUCAGCCUGUGGAGUUUUAGGAGAUUUGAAUUUGGGUUUUCAGCUUCACAAAUUUGUUUUCCAGGUGAAACCUUUGGAAAAUCCCGAUAUUCGUAUGAUGAAUUCGGUUAUUGACAUGUAUGGAAAGUGCGGGAGGAUGCACUUAGCUUACAAAGUGUUUAUUGAAAUGGAGGAGAGGAAUGUGUCGUCGUGGACGUCAAUGAUAGUCGGCUAUGUUGUGCACGGGCAUGUCGGAAAUGCGCUGGAGUUCUUUCGUGGUAUGAUAGAAGGCGGUGUUACGCCUAAUGAAAUUACUUUUGUCGGAAUUUUGAGUGCGUGCGUCCAUGGCGGGAUGGUCUGUGAAGGGAGGUAUUAUUUCAACAUGAUGACACAGGUUUAUGGAAUCAAGCCGCGACUACCCCACUACGGCUGCAUGGUGGAUCUUCUGGGUCGCGCCGGACUGUUUGACGAGGCGAAGAUGAUGGUGGAGGGGAUGCCGAUGAAGGCCAAUGUUGUGAUAUGGGGAUGCUUGAUGGGCGCGUGCGAGAAGUAUGGGAACUUGAAAAUGGGGGAAUGGGUGGGUCGGCAUUUGAUUGAAUUGGAGCCGUGGAAUGACGGUGUGUUUGUCGCUUUGUCGAAUAUAUAUGCCCGGCAUGGUAUGUGGAAAGAAGUGGAGAGAUGCCGGAUGUUCAUGAAGGAAAAAAAUCUGGCGAAACUUCCAGCUUAUAGUUUGCCCGAGAGGGCUCUGGUAACUUAACAUUCGGCAACUUCAGCUAAGAUUGGCUAUUUCUUGAGCCAUACUGUUCAUCGAACAAGUACUCGGCUUCUAACAUUCGGCAGAUGGGUGAAAAGAUCGAAAGCUUACAAGAACGACAGAAUCCCGGGCAGCGAAUGCCAAUAUGUCGGCACAUGAGACAAUGCCGGGACACACGGCUUCCACUUCUCUCUUCGCUUCUUCGAUCACAUAAAACGCGUG